AGGAUUUGAAUAUGCAUGUCAUUCAAUUCCCAUGUUAUUUCUAUUCCUGCGCUUUUAGAAUUCUGCCAAUCAAAGAGGCCAUAAUCUACUAUCCCUAUAAAAAAGAAAAGAGAGGGUGGAGAACCAAACAAUCAGACCCGUCCAUCAAAAAGAUCUGAUCGCCCUUAAUCCUGGCAACAAACCACGCAAUUAAGCCCGAUCGCUAAAAAAAAUUGUUCGCACGACCUCUCGCCACGCCCCCACGACCUGACGCCCCGCGCCGUUCCUCCCGCACGACCUCGCGUCUCAGCGCCGUUCCUCCCACAGCCAGGCGCGGGUCGUAGGUCGCCGAGCCGCCGUCGGAGCCGCCCUUCGCCGCGGCCCGCAGGUCCCCCAGCCGCCGCCGGAGCCACCCUUCGCCGCGGCCCGCAGGUCGCCGAGCCGCCGCCCCUUCGCCGCCCUUCGCCGCGGCCCGUAGGUCGCCGAGCCGCCGCCCCUUCGCCGCCCUUCGCCGCCCUUCGCCGCAGGGGUUGGUGUCGCACUCACCACGGAGAAGAUCGCCAAGUACUUUGUAUACAUCCGCUGUAAACCAUCACCGUGCUGCGCCAACAAGUGCCGCUGCCGCCUGGGUUCGCUAGCCGUCGCGUGAAGUCGCCCUGGUCGCCGUCUCGACUCACCUCCAUCACCACCACGAGUCAACUUCGCGGCAGCCGCCAGGAAUCCCAUCACCGUCAAGCCAGGGUGUGAGUCCAGUGACACACAACAUUCAAUUAUGAGGAUCAAGGAAAUUAUGAUCAUUCAGUCAUUGAUGAUAUGAAAAGAGGCAUGAAGGCAACAUGUUCUAUCAAGAAGUUUCUUUGCAAAGUAGAUAAGCUUUAUUUUGAGCCUCCACCAAUUUAUUGUUGUCCUUGUGUUGCUCGGACAAAACAAAAUGCAUCAUACUAUACUGCUGCUGCUACUGAGAUUUGCCACAAUUUCUGUAUCCUGUGUUACAAUGAGACUCGCAGUUGCACGAUUCAGGUGGAAAGGUGGGUUAUGUGUGACAAAUGUGAACGCUGGAAGCAUCAGAUUUGUGCCCUUUUUAAUUUCAAAAGGGGUGAUUCUAAAGAAGCAAAAAUGUACUUGCCCUGAAGUGUUGUUCUUGGGACUAAAGAUCUGCCAAGGGCCGUGCUUAGCAAUCAUAUACAAGAACAACUCUUUAAACGGUUCAGGGAAGAGAGACACGAACAGGCCAUUCAUGAUGGGAAAAGCUUUGAUGAGGUUAGUGCUGCCUCAUCAAUUCACAGAAUCUUACGUUUAUGGAUCCUAUGUUUUCUUUUUCUUGGUUAUGUCUUGGUUCCUCUUUCCUGAAUAUGAAAUUUGUAGCUUGUGUACUUCUUAGAAACGGAGAUGUGCUGCUCCAUCUGCUUAUUUUUAUUCUGUUUGAAGAAUUGACAGUAUUUAAAUGUUUGUUUUGCUAGAUCCUUGUUUCAUGCACGUGCACCUUUUUCCGAACCAGGAGCUUUUCAUUACUGAAUAAGUACAUAGUUAUAGUCAUACUAAAGGCUGAAAAUGAAGCUAGGAUUCAUAUUUAUCCUGGCACACCAUUGCCGCUCAGGCAAAGCAUUUUUUGCACGCAGGUCAGCAGCAACAUUAGUUGGUCUAUGCACAAACUUAAAUUGAAAACAAUAAACUCUACUUAGUUCGGUCACUUCCUUCAGGAUGGGGGUGUUCAGUCUUCAGCAUCACUGGACCAAAAUAUAUUGCUGGUUGAUGUAUUGUUUUAAUGAGGGUUUCGUUUACGAGAGUGUGCAGUAUGUAUAAGACUAGGAGUAUUGGAUGGUUGUCAGUCGGCAGUAUGUAUUUUGAACAAAGUUUGUAGUAUGUAUGGGGGUGAUAGGUUGGGUAGGAACUUGUCCUCUAAUUACUACGGUUGUAGUUAAAUUACUAUGGGGUGAUAAGUUUGCAGUUUGUCAGUAACAUCUCCAUAUCAUUGAGUCUGAAAAACAAUUGUAGCAUCUUUAUUAUACUGGAUUUUAUUCAUUUUGGUGGGUUGUGAGAAUACCUUGAAAAAGAAUACCUUGAAGUAGAGAGAAUACCUUGAAACAGAAUUGAAAGCCCACUAGGCUAAGAAAACUGCGGCGAAAUCAUCCUCCCAUCCCUGGGUCGGUUCAGCAUGUCCCUUUUAAAUAUGCCACAAACACAAGGCAAAAUAUUAAUCCAUGUACUUCAUCUUACCUUAUAUAGUUUGUCUUUAAUCUAACCAUGUCAUCUCAGAAUUAUUUGGUUGAUAUUUUACCACGUGCAACAUAUAUGCAAAUGUAAACACAUGGCAAAAGGUCAGUCAAUUCGCAGGGACUAACCUUGUACUGUUGCUAUUUGUCCCAAACAUCUAAUACUCAUAACUAACUUCAUUGCCUCCAUUGUUAGGCUAAAAUCUGGAGCCGAUAACGGAGUAAUUACUAACCAUCAGUUCACAGAAACGCAAUCUGACGAGAAGUUACAGAGUAGAUACUGAUAUGCCAUGACCAUCUGAUAAGAAGAAAGCAGAGUAUCUAAAGAAGCACAACAUAUCCCGCUAGCAAGAGAAAGUUGUGGCGGCCAGUGAGAAUAUCGAUGGAUCUAGCUUAAGAACCCGCAAUUUUCUUUCUCCAUAUAUAUUUUUCCUUCUAAAGAUUAGUUAUUGACAAUUGAGAUUCAAUAGAAUACCCAGAAGCAUGAGUAUUCAAUAUCUGCCUUUGUUCUGAUCUGUAGAAGCAGUGGAAAUAGAACUUGAUUUAUCAUUCAGUGAGAAAUCACAAAAAUUUCAGUAAAUCUCAUAUCUUCAGCAAUUUGCUGGUGGGAGAGUGAUGAUUGUGGCAGCAAGCUCGCUAGCGAUGGAGGAAAGCAGCAGGAGGGAACGUGAAUGGGAUUGGGCAUUGGUAUAGUGAGUGUGUUAGUUUCGGUCAGGCUGCCCACCAUGUGUGUGUUUCAGCUGAAACACCAUAAAGCAAUUUAAUUAUUCAUGUUUAUUUAUCUUUCAUUUCAUCAAAUUAAAAUGUCUAAUCAAAAUUUUGUAGUCACGUAGGUGGAUUAUAUUGGGGUUUAUGGAUGUCAAACUUCUGGAUAGGAAUGUUUCAUUUGACUAUUUUGAGCAUGAGCAUAGGACACACUUUAGAACAAAAUUAUCUACCAUUUUAGUGGACUCGGAAUUGAAUGAUGAUAUGCUGAGAAGUAGAAACUAUGAAAGUGAUGGACACAAUGGAGCAUAGGACACACUUUAGAACAAAAUUAUUUACCAUUUUAGUGGACUCGGAACUGAAUGAUGAUACGGUGAGAAGUAGAAACUAUGAGAAGUGAUGAACACAACGGUGAACUCUUAUAUCCUGUGAUUUUGGACAACCAUCCUAGAAGAGGUCAAAAGAUCAAACUCAGACUAUAAGACGAACUCCUAAUACCAUUGUUGGUGUUUUCACCCGGCAUCAAACUGACAAACGCCGUCUUAAUAGAUGAACUUCGCUACUUAUUCUCUAUAUUAUAGACGUGCGUUGCACGUGCACGUUUACUAGUAAAUAAGAAUUUAAGAAUAAGCAUAAGUGACCAUGUUAGUCUCCUGCCACCAAGGGCACCAAUUAUUGUAGUAAUUUCAUGCUCACUCGCCCUCUAAUUAGCAGCUAAUCAAGUCACAGCUCAUCCAUAGGUCUACCAUUUUCUUUCUCCCAUGAGAGUCAGGACAGAGUAGCGUACUAGCUAGGGCGCUUGAAACACUAGUACAUAGAAUUGGUGACAACUGACAACUUGGCCAAUGAGCUACGGAAAAGUAUGCUUCUUCCCUCUUGUUCUAAAUCUUAUCUCGAAGUACAAACUGUACUUGAAACAAUUUGAAAAUGCAGUUGUCAUUUCGGGAAAGCCCCAAACUGGCCAUGGUAUGCACCAAUUUAAAAUCUCAUCCAAAGUACAGAUUCGACAUGUUAACGUGUUAGGAGCUUUUUGUCAAACAAAUAAAAAUGCACGUACACGCUGGAUUAUUCAAAUCUUGAAGCUGAGCGUACUUGCACUCAUCUUCCAUUAUUGGCCUGGACCACGUGUACGACUGCAAUGGAAAGUUUUGGAUUUCAAUUUUUCGUUCCUGUGGUAUGUUGGUGUCCUUCCAUGAUGCUUCAUCAUCUUCCAACAAGGGGGUGACGGCAACACACAGUGCCUUCGGCUUGGUGGUGUUGAGCACUGUGUCUCGAGCUCCGGGCGAAGAAUCCUAGGUCUGACCUUUGAUGUUUGUGCCUGGCAAUAACGGUUUACGCGUCGUGUCGGUGUUGAAGGCAUUGAGUUGGACGUACUCUCUGGGAUGGAAAUCAAGAUCUGACCUGCAAUGAUUGGACCCGCAAUGGCGGUGCUUGCGCGUCUUUACUCUCUUGAAGGUAUUGUUUUCGGAAAAUCUUUCUCGUAGCUCAUGUGUUGUCAAGGACGGUGGAUGAAGUUCUUGUUGGUGUGUCGUAAGUUGUUGGCUGUGUCAGCUUUCUUUAUUUUUGUUUCUUCUUUUUGUCUUUUUUGGCCGUGUGCUCCAUGUCUCGGCUAGGUUUUCUAGGGACCGGGUGUAAUUGAUAUUGUCUUGAUGUCAAUAUAUUACCCUUUAUCAAAAAAAGUAAUAUAGAUCCCAACUUCAUCUUGCGCA